AUUUGAAAUCUCCGAUGCUUGCAUCGGCGAGUUGUAAUUGCGAGAAGCACUUUCUAGGCGGAUCGGUGGUGCCUAAGUUGCUUGGAACAGCACGUCGCAGAGGGUGACAACCCCGUCUGUGGCGCGACCGGCCGCUGACGAUGUGCUUUCGAAGAGUCGGGUUGUUUGGGAAUGCAGCCCAAAAUGGGUGGUAAACUCCAUCUAAAGCUAAAUACUGGCGUGAGACCGAUAGCGAACAAGUACCGUGAGGGAAAGAUGAAAAGAACUUUGAAAAGAGAGUUAAAAAGUACGUGAAACCGUUGAAAGGGAAACGAAUGGACUCAGCAAUGCGCCGUUUGAGAUUCAGCCGGUGGGCGGCGUCGGCGCGGGGUUUGCGGAUCUGAAUGGACCGCGGCCCGGCGCUCGUGGCCUCCCGCCGUCGCACUUCUCUUGGGCGCGCGUCAACGUCGGUUGGGACUGGGUCUGAAAGGUGCCGGGAAGGUAGGUGUGGGCCCUCGGGCCCGUUCUGUUACAGCCCGGUUCUCUCGUGGCUCGGGCCCGACCGAGGUGUUGCAGGGCAUGCCUCUUGUGGCUAGGGUCCCGUCCUUCCGGCCGGCUGUCGACUGCGGUGGACUGCUUGCAGUGCUCGGCGAACGCUGCCGGUCGUUGGGGUGGUGAUCUCGUACCAUGCCCUUGGGAUGUUGGCGGUCAUAUGGGUCCAUCCGACCCGUCUUGAAACACGGACCAAGGAGUCUAACAUGUGCGCGAGUCUCAGGGUGAGCGAAACCCCGAGGCGCAAUGAAAGUGAAGGCGGCCUCGGCCGCUGAGGUGAGAUCCGACCGUCGGUCGGCGCAUCAUCGACCGACCUAUUCUACUCUUAGGAAGGUUUGAGUAAGA
rnacentral:rRNA from 1 species